rnacentral:piRNA from 1 species
UAACAUUCAACCAGUACUUCCUAAAAC